rnacentral:piRNA from 1 species
UACUGUUGCAUGACCUGUAGAGUGGAAAC